GAGAGAGUCUGUCUCCACAGAUUCAAUGUCCGGAGCAUUUCUGGUUCUGCGCUGUAAUCCCCAGUAAAAGACAAUAAUGUGUGGCUGCUUUGUAAUAGGUUUCUCUUAGUUCCCAGUUUCCACAAUACAUAGAUAUCUUCCCAGAUUUCUCCAACCAACAGGUCUUUGUCACCUUCUUGCUUCUGUUGUUGCUAGCACACUCACCAUUCUUAGGCAGCUGAGAUGCUUUCAAAACCGAUGACUGGAUUCUGCCAACUGGUCCCUGGAAGCAGGAAGCUGUUGAGAUUCUGCAGAGAGAGUCUGUCUCCACAGAUUCAAUGUCCGGAGCAUUUCUGGUUCUGCGCUGUAAUCCCCAGUAAAAGACAAUAAUGUGUGGCUGCUUUGUAAUAGGUUUCUCUUAGUUCCCAGUUUCCACAACACAUAGAUAUCUUCCCAGAUUUCUCCAACCAACAGGUCUUUGUCACCUUCUUGCUUCUGUUGUUGCUAGCACACUCACCAUUCUUAGGCAGCUGAGAUGCUUUCAAAACCGAUGACUGGAUUCUGCCAACUGGUC
rnacentral:lncRNA from 1 species